CACCUCUAGCAUUACCAGUAUUAGAGGCACUGCCUGCCCAGUGACAUUAGUUAAACGGCCGCGGUAUCCUGACCGUGCAAAGGUAGCAUAAUCAUUUGUUCCUUAAUUAGGGACUUGUAUGAAUGGCCCCACGAGGGUUUAACUGUCUCUUACUUUCAAUCAGUGAAAUUGACCCUCCCGUGAAGAGGCGGGAAUACAAAAAUAAGACGAGAAGACCCUAUGGAGCUUAAAUUAAUUUGCUCAACAAAAUUUAAAUUCAGCCCAACAGGAAUAAUUAUAAUUUAACUGAGCAAUAAAUUUUGGUUGGGGUGACCUCGGAGUAUAACAAAACCUCCGAGUGAUUACAACUAAGACAUACUUGUCAAAGUUACAUAACUUAUUGAUCCAAUCAUAUUGAUCAACGAAACAAGUUACCCUAGGGAUAACAGCGCAAUCCUAUUUGAGAGUUCAUAUCGACAAUAGGGUUUACGACCUCGAUGUUGGAUCAGGACACCCAAAUGGUGCAGCAGCUAUUAAAGGUUCGUUUGUUCAACG
rnacentral:rRNA from 1 species